GCUCAGGACGAACGCUGGCGGCGUGCUUAACACAUGCAAGUCGAGCGGUAAGGCCUUUCGGGGUACACGAGCGGCGAACGGGUGAGUAACACGUGGGUGAUCUGCCCUGCACUCUGGGAUAAGCCUGGGAAACUGGGUCUAAUACCGGAUAUGACUGCAGCAUGCAUGUGCUGUGGUGGAAAGCUUUUGUGGUGCAGGAUGGGCCCGCGGCCUAUCAGCUUGUUGGUGGGGUAAUGGCCUACCAAGGCGACGACGGGUAGCCGACCUGAGAGGGUGACCGGCCACACUGGGACUGAGACACGGCCCAGACUCCUACGGGAGGCAGCAGUGGGGAAUAUUGCACAAUGGGCGGAAGCCUGAUGCAGCGACGCCGCGUGAGGGAUGAAGGCCUUCGGGUUGUAAACCUCUUUCAGCAGGGACGAAGCGCAAGUGACGGUAC
rnacentral:rRNA from 1 species